CAGCCGCCACGGUAAUACGUAGGGUGCAAGCGUUAAUCGGAAUUACUGGGCGUAAAGCGUGCGUAGGCGGCUUCUUAAGUCGGAUGUGAAAUCCCUGAGCUUAACUUAGGAAUUGCAUUCGAUACUGGGAAGCUAGAGUAUGGGAGAGGAUGGUAGAAUUCCAGGUGUAGCGGUGAAAUGCGUAGAGAUCUGGAGGAAUACCGAUGGCGAAGGCAGCCAUCUGGCCUAAUACUGACGCUGAGGUACGAAAGCAUGGGGAGCAAACAGGAUUAGAUACCCCAGUAGUCCCUGUCUCUUAUAU
rnacentral:rRNA from 1 species